rnacentral:rRNA from 1 species
UCCACAAGCGGUACAGGAUGGGCUCGCGUCUGAUUAGCUAGUUGGUGAGGUAACGGCUCACCAAGGCGACGAUCAGUAGCCGACCUGAGAGGGUGAACGGCCACACUGGAACUGAGACACGGUCCAGACUCCUACGGGAGGCAGCAGUGGGGAAUAUUGCACAAUGGGCGAAAGCCUGAUGCAGCAACGCCGCGUGAGUGAUGAAGGCCUUCGGGUCGUAAAGCUCUGUCAGUGGGGAAGAACCGCCGGGUGGUUAAUACCUGCCUGGUCUGACGGUACCCACAAAGGAAGCACCGGCUAACUCCGUGCCAGCAGCCGCGGUAAUACGGAGGGUGCAAGCGUUGUUCGGAAUUACUGGGCGUAAAGCGCGCGUAGGCGGUUUGCUCAGUCAGAUGUGAAAGCCCUCGGCUUAACCGGGGACGUGCAUUUGAAACUGUCAGACUUGAGUGCAGGAGAGGGCAAUGGAAUUCCAUGUGUAGCGGUAAAAUGCGUAGAUAUAUGGAGGAACACCAGUGGCGAAGGCGGUUGCCUGGCCUGUAACUGACGCUGAGGCACGAAAGCGUGGGGAGCAAAUAGGAUUAGAUACCCUAGUAGUCCACGCUGUAAACGAUGAAUACUAAGUGUUGGAGAAAUUCAGUGCUGCAGUUAACGCAAUAAGUAUUCCGCCUGGGGAGUAUGCACGCAAGUGUGAAACUCAAAGGAAUUGACGGGACCCCGCACAAGCGGUGGAUUAUGUUGUUUAAUUCGAAGCAACGCGAAGAACCUUACCAAGUCUUGACAUACCGCGCAAGGCCCUGGAGACAGGGAGAUAGUUAUGGCGGAUACAGGUGGUGCAUGGUUGUCGUCAGCUCGUGUCGUGAGAUGUUGGGUUAAGUCCCGCAACGAGCGCAACCCUUAUCUUUAGUUACCAUCAUUCAGUUGGGGACUCUAGAGAGACUGCCGGUGACAAACCGGAGGAAGGUGGGGAUGACGUCAAAUCAUCAUGCCCCUUAUGGCCUGGGCUACAAACGUAAUACAAUGGCGUAUACAAAGGGAUGCGAAAGGGCGACCUGGAGCAAAACUCACAAAGUACGUCUCAGUUCAGAUUGGAGUCUGCAACUCGACUCCAUGAAGGCGGAAUCGCUAGUAAUCGCGGAUCAGCAUGCCGCGGUGAAUACGUUCUCGGGGUUUGUACACACCGCCCGUCAAACCAUGAGAGUUGGUAAUACCCGAAGCCGGUGAGCUAACCGCAAGG